rnacentral:piRNA from 1 species
UGAAAUUCCUUAGAGAAGGAGCUGCUGC